CAGGAUUUUCUCUUAUAUCUGAGACUCUACAAGACAAUCAUACUCCAAAUUCAGUGAUUGACUUUCUCAGUUUACACAGAAGGCAAGGGGUGCCUGGAUGACACAGUUGUUUAAGCAGAUGUUUGCCUUUGGCUGAGGUCAUGAUUCCAGUGUACAGGGAUCCAGCCCUGCAUGGGACUACUUGCACCCCAAGGAGCUUGCUUUUUCUUCUCCCUUUGCACGUGAUUCCCCCUGCUUGUGUGCUUCUUCUUCUCUAUGUCUCUCUCUCUCUCUCUUGCUGUCAAUAAACAAAAUAAAAUCUUUUACUAAAUCAAUCAAUCAAUCAAUCAAUAAAUAAAUCUACUUUCACUUUAGGUCCCUUAACAAAAAUUUCUACUGCUUUAUUUAAAAAAAAAAAAAGAUAA